GUUACAAUAUGGUUGAUCUUUGUGAAUUUUCCAUGUGAAGCUGAGAAAAUCAUGUUGGUGUAGAUUUUUCUUAAUUGCAUCACUUAAGUCAGGUUCGAAGAUAAGUGCUAGAAGAUAGUGUUAGAAGAUAGUAAACUAUAUCCUAAUUUUCUUCCUAUAUUUUAUACCAAUUGCUCAUAUAGGAGGGUUAAAAUCUCUAAUUAUAAUUGUAUUUGUCUUCUUAUAUUUCAGAAGUGUCAUAUUUUGUCUAAUGUAUUUUAAGCUCUGUUAUUUUGGGACUACUGAUG
ensembl:lncRNA